GUAAACAAGCCUGGAGCACUAUGAGGUUUUGCUGAGUGUAUUGUCGAGUUUUUUUGUUCUCUGUGGGGGUCGUCAUGUCUGUGGUGGUCUGUUUAGGGUUAUUUCUUGGUUUGGUUUUCUCUCACUUGAGCUGUUCUCAAAAUUAUGAAGAAGGACCUGCAGGAAGUUCUCCAAAAGCCUUCAGUUCCUACAGCCCAAUACAAAGUCAAGGCACCUACAGUAGAUCUGUAGCAUCCAGCUUUGGCCCAUCCUCUCAUCGGCAUGGACCCGUCUCCUCCUACCAAAC